rnacentral:rRNA from 1 species
AUUGAACGCUGGCGGCAGGCCUAACACAUGCAAGUCGAGCGGAUGAAGGGAGCUUGCUCCUGGAUUCAGCGGCGGACGGGUGAGUAAUGCCUGGGAAUCUGCCUGGUAGCGGGGGAUAACGUCCGGAAACGGGCGCUAAUACCGCAUACGUCCUGAGGGAGAAGGUGGGGGAUCUUCGGACCUCACGCUAUCAGAUGAGCCUAGGUCGGAUUAGCUAGUUGGUGGGGUAAAGGCCUACCAAGGCGACGAUCCGUAACUGGUCUGAGAGGAUGAUCAGUCACACUGGAACUGAGACACGGUCCAGACUCCUACGGGAGGCAGCAGUGGGGAAUAUUGGACAAUGGGCGAAAGCCUGAUCCAGCCAUGCCGCGUGUGUGAAGAAGGUCUUCGGAUUGUAAAGCACUUUAAGUUGGGAGGAAGGGCAGUAAGUUAAUACCUUGCUGUUUUGACGUUACCAACAGAAUAAGCACCGGCUAACUUCGUG